rnacentral:rRNA from 1 species
AUUGAACGCUGGCGGCAGGCCUAACACAUGCAAGUCGAACGAGUGGCGGACGGGUGAGUAAUGUCUGGGAAACUGCCUGAUGGAGGGGGAUAACUACUGGAAAGGGUAGCUAAUACCGCAUAUCACCGGAUGUGCCCCGAUGGGCUAAGCUAGUAGGUGGGGUAACGGCUCACCUAGCCGACGACCCCUAGCUGGUCUGAGAGGAUGAUCAGCCACACGGGAACUGAGGCACGGUCCAGACUCCUACGGGAGGCAGCAGUGGGGAAUAUUGCGAAAUGGGCGAAAGCCUGAUGCAGCCAUGCCGCGUGUAUGAAGAAGGCCUUAGGGUUGUAAAGUACUUACAGCGGGGAGGCGUUACCCGCAGAAGAAGCACCGGCUAACUCCGUGCCAGCCGCCGCGGUAAUAC